rnacentral:rRNA from 1 species
AGCGAACGCUGGCGGCAGGCCUAACACAUGCAAGUCGAACGAACCUUUCGGGGUUAGUGGCGGACGGGUGAGUAACACGUGGGAACGUGCCGUUAGGUUCGGAAUAACUCAGGGAAACUUGUGCUAAUACCGAAUGUGCCCUUCGGGGGAAAGAUUAAUCGCCUUUAGAGCGGCCCGCGUCUGAUUAGCUAGUUGGUUGAGGUAAUGGCUCACCAAGGCGACGAUCAGUAGCUGGUCUGAGAGGAUGAUCAGCCACAUUGGGACUGAGACACGGCCCAAACUCCUACGCGAAGCAGCAGUGGGGAAUCUUGCGCAAUGGGCGAAAGCCUGACGCAGCCAUGCCGCGUGAAUGAUGAAGGUCUUAGGAUUGUAAAAUUCUUUCACCGGGGACGAUAAUGACGGUACCCGGAGAAGAAGCCCCGGCUAACUUCGUG